CGAGCGCAACCCUUGUCCUAGUUACCAGCACGUUAUGGUGGCACUCUAAGGAGACUGCCGGUGGACAACCGGAGGAAGGUGGGGAUGACGUCAAGUCAUCAUGGCCCUUACGGCCUGGGCUACACACGUGCUACAAUGGUCGGUACAAAGGGUUGCCAAGCCGCGAGGUGGAGCUAAUCCCAUAAAACCGAUCGUAGUCCGGAUCGCAGUCUGCAACUCGACUGCGUGAAGUCGGAAUCGCUAGUAAUCGUGAAUCAGAAUGUCACGGUGAAUACGUUCCCGGGCCUU
rnacentral:rRNA from 1 species